AUCCCAUUCCAGGAAGUAAGGGGGAGGGACCCCUGGGUAAACUGGAGGAUACAGUUCCCUGGCCACAACACUUUAAAAACAACAUGAGACAGAAACUAUCUUAAUUUGGGAGAGAUAGGAUGGAGUCAAUGGAAAAGACUUUUACCAGCCUGGUAAUAGAGGAACACAAAAUGUCUUCUACCAAAACAAGGUCCUUGCUGUCUGCCACAUUGGUGUCCAUUUGAGAUAAUCUGGUCAUACAUCCAAGCCCUGUUAAAUUGAGUUACAAGACCCUAAAUAUCAGAUGAAUAGAAAAAAUCCUCAAAUCUAAAGCUGCCUAAAGAUAUAAUAUUCCAAGGGGGAAAGGACCAUUUCUUGGAAGAGCUAUAAAACACAUGUUCAAAAAGAGUUUUCAUCCUGGAACAGCUGGCUCUUUAACAAAACAAAUUUCUCACACUUUGAAAAAGUUUAUUUGUCCUUUUAUUCAGUUUUGCUUUUUAAAAUUCUAUCAUUGUUUUCCGAAUAUGAUAAAGUUAGCUAUUGACUGAGGACAGGGAAAUGAAGAUAAAUUCCAAAUCCAUCCUUUUGAUACGAAAAAAAAAUAAUUGUUUGAGAAAUGUUCUUUUCAGUCCUAAAAAAAUCCUGAAUUUCCAGGAACCACCUUAUGGUUUCAAUUUGUUUAACUUCUUUUACAAUGAUCUGCUGCAGAGUUAUAGUCGAAGUGAAGAACUGAAAAGUCAAAAACUAUCCAUUUAAAAGGGGAAAUGCAUUUAUGUUCAUUUCAAUUACCAAGUGAUUUAGUAGUUAUAGAACC